AACACUGUUCUGCAGUCUAUGGUGACUAUGCUGGCAGGUGAGUCACAAUCCUGGCACUUGGGGAACACCCAGUUUGGUGGGAAAAGACACCAACCCAGCAAGCAUGGACUUAUACAAGCGUGAUGAUCAAACAUGGAGGCAGAGACUUUGGUGGAAUUAAAUUGUGAGCUGGCAAACUCCACAGGCAGUGAGGGGCAGGGAAGAGCGGUGAGUAACAUAGUACUGUUCACAGGUGAAUGUCACAGGUAUGAAUGCGGAGGAACCCAUCUUUCUGCUAAGGGGAGUCGGCACGCUGUCCCUGAAGAA
rnacentral:lncRNA from 1 species